rnacentral:rRNA from 1 species
AUUGAACGCUGGCGGCAGGCCUAACACAUGCAAGUCGAACGAGAGGCGGACGGGUGAGUAAGGACUGGGAAACUGACUGAUGGAGGGGGUUAACUAAUGGAAACGGUAGCUAAUACCGCAUACCCUCGGAGGUGCCCAGAUGGGAUUAGCUAGGCGGAGGGGUAAAGGCUCACCUAGGCGAAGAUCCCUAGCUGGUCUGAGAGGAUGACCAGCCACACUGGAACUGAGACACGGUCCAGACUCCUACGGGAGGCAGCAGUGGGGAAUAUUGCACAAUGGGCGCAAGCCUGAUGCAGCCAUGCCGCGUGUAUGAAGAAGGCCUUCGGGUUGUAAAGUACUUUCAGCGGGGAGGCGUUACCCGCAGAAUAAGCACCGGCUAACUCCGUGCCAGCCGCCGCGGUAAUAC